rnacentral:lncRNA from 10 species
CAGCCAGAUGGACUCUGUGUCCCCAGUCCCUGAGUUAGCUGACCGCCAGGGCAGGGAGGCCAUGUUGCUCCACACUUUUUUGAAGAAGGCCUUACCUUGAUUCCAUAUGUUUCAGAAUUAGCUGUGUCAUCUACAAGAGAAGGCCAAAGGGUACACAUUUUACAAAUGAAGGAAGAGGCAACCCCAUGGACUGAAAUGUUCUCUGAAGUAGAAUUGACCGCAAUCAGGCCUGGCAGGCCUGGAGCAGAUCCUGACUGCAGCAGGAUGAAAAACAGAACAAGACAAUUACAAGACCACGACAUGGCCUCUCAACUAAGUGUGGUUCGAUUUCAAAGAAUCCUGCUUCUACAGUGGAUGGGCACAAUUCUCCUGAGUUGCCAAAUUUCAAGUUACUACAUGUUAAUGCAUUUCGCACAUAUAUUGAUCACAUACCUUGACUACGGAGGUGAUGUUACAAUGGAUGAGGCUCUGUAAUAAAUAAUCACAACCACACAUCAGCCGGAUGAUUAGAGAAAUUCUCCUGGAAAGUAGUUGGUGCUAAAGAACCAUGAAGUGGGCAAAAGUGCAUGUCUGAACGGUUUCAUCACUCACCCUGCAAAUUAGGCUCAUAACUGCCUUCCAGCAAGCAUGUACUAGCAUCAAGAAACAUCUGACUCCCAUUCUGUCAUUCUGUACCCACGUCAUCUUGACUAGACAUCAAUUAAGAGUUUCCUGGAAAACUCGGAACUAUAUUCCUGGAGGAAUAUAAAUACGGUUUUUCAAAGGGAGCUACUCCAUUCUCAGCUGGAGGAAGAGGGGUUAGCCUAUGUGAGUCCAGGAGAACAGAAAGACAAAUGGUUGUAUAAUAUAAGGUAGAGGUUCUGGGCUAUGGAGGGCAGGUAAAGAAACCACUAGAAUGACCAAAGAUAAAGAGAAAGGACAAGAGGACGGACACAGACACUAGCACAAACACAGACACACACAGGCAGAGGAGCAACCCUGGAACUUGCUUCUUGAAGAGACGUAGAUUUGUGCCAGAAACAGAGUGUGGGAGACAGAGCCCACACAGGAGAUGUGUGGUCCAGAGAGGAGUUCA